UUCCGAGGCAGGGACAGGAAGGGAAAGGUCGCGGCUCGGCGGCCGAGAAGGGCACUAGAAAUGGCCGGGGUGAGGGGUCACUUGGGGAGCAAGCCCCUCGCGAAGGUCCAGCCGAUCCAGAGGUGCUAUAUAUUUUACAUAUAUCAUUUAUCCAACUGAAGCACUUGGACUAUCAUGAGAAAUUUUCUGCUGAGAAAAAUAAUCUCCUUCAAGAUCAAUACCACCUCAAGGAAGGAGGUCUCACAUUGGCUGGAGUCACUCCUUCAAGAAGGGGGACAAAGGGGACCAUCCACUUGAUGCUGUACCACAUUGAAACAAGGCUGUGUCAGAUCAACAGGCCGUCCAUAGGAAUGAGAGGAGACCCUUACUGGAAAGUCAGGUUGAGAUCAGGGGACAGGAGCAUCUACAUUUCCACGGAGGCACUGCUAUUUCUGUUGGUGGGUAUGGUGAGUAACGGGAGGAGCAACAACCUCACAUUGGGAAGGGAUGCUGAACAAUAAUCAUAGGGAACCUAAACGGAGAAUAAACCCAGUUCUGUGGUCCUGGGUAGACCGUCCUUGAAUGUGUCUCUACCUACCUUUCAGUGAACCACACUGUGGAUGGACACUACGACGAGCUUAGACGCUGGCCUUACAAGAAACAUGGCAUCCCCCAAGGGCCACACCAGACUCAGUGUGGAAGCUUGACAGAAUGAAAUGGGCCCUACCUCCAAAGUACUUACUACCCUGGGACUGAGGACUGAAAUACCCUGAUGGGAGAGGAUGCAAGGGAUGGCCACCCCAUGACUAUGGAAAUGGCAGUCAUUGGACCUUGGGUGGAUCCCCUUUCUUAGUCGAUGUCCAAUGAAAAGAUACCCAUAACCACCUUUUGUCUGGUGCUUCAAUGCUCCCCUUGCAUUAAUAUGACAGGUUUUGACAUGAGAGGCAAGGGUCUACCCUUGUAAGAGAUGAUGCAGGAAAUUUCCCCCUAGCCCCAAUCCCCAUGCUCAGUGUAAACAGAGCCCAAUCAAUUUGUACAAAGCAACAACUCAUAGAUUGCAGUUCACAGUUGGACCAUACUCCCAUAAAUUCCUAAUAUCAACAGUACCUUAAAUUUCAUGUCAUCAGAUAAAUUUUUGGUGUUAUCAAUGCAAUCACCUUAUACC